UAACAUGCGAUAGCAGGUAAUGAGCCAUUAAGAUGGGCAGAAAAGACUUGCUAAUGUUUCAAUAAUUAUGUACAUUAAAAUAUACAAAUAACAGAAAAAUACCAGUAGCACAGAAAUUAGAUUAGAUCAACUGCUAGUCAUUCAGCAACUAGUUAUGGCCUACCACAAGUAAAGCAUUUUGCUGAAACCCAGAAAGGACAUAGAGUCUUUGUACCUCAACUAUAUUUCAGAAUCACACACCAGAGAUGCUGUCUACAAAGCGAAGCAACUUGGUAAUGUAAUGAGAACAGAGAUGGAGGUGGGCCGAGGCCAAGCACCAAGGUCAUUCAGUCACAAUGCUGCCUUUUGGAAAGCUAUGACAUAAACUAUGGUGAUUUUGUGCCCCAGAGAUACCUGCUCAGGUCUCACAUCAGAGCUUCCAGGGAUACAAACAAAGAAGAAAAGUCAAGAGAAAGAGAACACCUGGUUGGAUAAGUUUACAUGACAAUUCUAGCAUGAUGGGCCACCAAACCAUUAGGAAUCUGGAUCCUACGCCUGAUAAAUGCUCUCCUCAUGAUGCUUCAGAUCUAGAUACGGGUAUGAUGUACAUGCACCAAUUAAUAGGAAGCAAUAUGCCACAAAUGUGAUGUGGGACAACAGAGUAAGCACUGCCCUGCAGAAAGCAGUUGGAACAAUUCAAACUGUUGAGACACUGUUUACUUUGAAACUGACUUUCUUGAAACAGAAGUUUCAGAUUAAACACCCCCCCCCAAAAAAAAACCACCUUGAAGCCAAUGCUGUGGACAUACAACCCCUUGAAAGAUAUAAAUGAUAAGUUUAAGAUGGAUCAGAUCGGAGAGGAUAAGAAUUCCUUUGGGAAGUUGAGACCUGUUCACACAAAUUACACGUGACUUGAGUUCUGGACAGAAGGAUAAUCUCUUGGUCUCUAUUCAUCCUGUGACAUUGGUUGCAACUUGUACAUGUCCAGGAGUUACCUCAGCAUGAAACCAAUCUAUGACAUAAUAAACAGAUGUGGCAAUAUAAAAACUAUUACUAC
rnacentral:lncRNA from 1 species